AUGUUCGCAUUCGCACUUAAUGCAUCGAAGCACCGAAGAAAAACCGCUUAUGUAGAGGCUAUGCACAAGGCCACCAAUAAGAUUAAGAACAAAACCAAAAUCCACACUAGUAGUGAUGCAUACACAAAGGUCAAAUCGUUUAAUGUUGGGCAUCACAUAACUAAUUGCUUCAAUCUUGUCAACCCAUUUUUUCCCAACCUGGUUUUGACAAAUAUAUACAUAAGAUAUAAUAUUGACUUUGACACCUUAAGAGUCUAAAAGUUCUCCUACUAAAGAAGGCCUCAAAAGCUUUUCCCACCAAAAUGGCAAGCGUAAUUAUGUAAUUUUGAAACUAAAUUGUAGCCAUAUUUUGUCAAGAUUUGUGCUGCCAUAUGAUCAUAUGGAUAACUGGUGUAUAUAG
rnacentral:lncRNA from 1 species